CCCAGACUCCUACGGGAGGCAGCAGUGAGGAAUAUUGGUCAAUGGCCGGAAGGCUGAACCAGCCAUGCCGCGUGAAGGUCAGUGCCCUAUGGGCGUUAAACUUCUUUUGUGCGGGAGCAAUAAUGGUCACGUGUGGCCAGACGAGAGUACCGUACGAAUAAGCAUCGGCUAACUCCGUGCCAGCAGCCGCGGUAAUACGGAGGAUCCGAGCGUUAUCCGGAUUUAUUGGGUUUAAAGGGAGCGUAGAUGGGUUGUUAAGUCGGUUGGGAAAGUUUGCGGCUCAACCGUAAAAUUGCAAUUGAUACUGGCAGCCUUGAGUACAGGUGAGGUAGGCGGAAUUCGUGGUGUAGCGGUGAAAUGCUUAGAUAUCACGAAGAACUCCGAUUGCGAAGGCAGCUCACUGGACUGCAACUGACACUGAGGCUCGAAAGUGUGGGUAUCAAACAGGAUUAGAUACCCGGGUA
rnacentral:rRNA from 1 species